rnacentral:lncRNA from 1 species
AUAAUAUUAGAAAAAUAUUUAGUAGACUGUUACUCAAAAUAGUCAAAGAUUAAUACAUGCCCGAUAAGAGUAUAGCAAAAUAUUAAAUAAUAAAUACUUGUAAUUUAAUUAAGAAAAAGAUUUGUUAUGGGUGGAAACAAAAGCAUCCCCAUAAUAAAUUGACCCACAUGCCAUAGAAAAACUAUACAUAGUGGCCAAUCCUAAAAAAUACCAUGAAAUUUAUAUGGAAAAAAUCAUGAACCGCGGCUUACACAAGAAAGAAUGUAGCUAUAUUCUUUCUAUUUUAGAUAUUAUAAUCAAAAUUAAUAUCAUGAAUAAAAUAAAUUCUACCAAUUAUAUUCAAUGUCAAGGUAUAUAUAGCUUGAAAUAUGGAAAACUUAAGCCUGGGGUGUACAAGCCCAAAUAUGCCCGGGCCCAGACCAACAAACAAGCCCAAACAUUUAACCCUAGCCCAAUCACUAAAUUGCCCAAUACUUAAAUAAAAGCAGAAAACCCUAGUAGCAGCAAGUAGCCGCCGCCCUCAAACACCCCAGCAGUCUCCAGUCGCCGCAAGUUUCGGCCUCCACGCGUGCCGUUUCCACCACGUUCGCUUGCAAAACGGACUAAAAGAGUCCGAAGAAAAAAAACAGCAAAAUAGCAACUAUAUUUGAUCUAUUUUUUCUUCUUUUUCAAGCUAUAUAUAAAGCCAUUUCAUUUUUGUAAAAAAAGAAGAGAUUCUGUAACUUCCAUUGAAAUAAUACGAAAAACAGUGAUUGAAAGUAAGGAGCAAGUUUCCUUUCAUUUUUCCCCAUUCUUUUGCUUUAGUUUUUUUUUAUUAUUAUUCAAAAAAGCAUAAAAAGGAGAAAGAGUAACGUACCUUGCUCUCAGAUCUGCUAAAAAAGGGGGUUAAAAACCCAUUCCGGCGAGCCUCCGGCCACUGGUUGCGGCGAAACCGUGGCGAACGGAUGGCGGCGGCUUGGGGUAUGAAACCCUAGCAGACAAGGGAGUGGAUUUAAGUUUUUGUUUUUUUGUUAACUUUAAAUGAUAUUUUUGCAAAAAAGAGGGUUUAAAUAGAAACACCGAAACGGUGUCGUUUUUACUAAAGCAGACCCGCGCGGUGACCCGACCCGAUGGGAAGGAUCCGCGCGUUCUUGCUUUUGAUGGUACAAUUGUGCAUUUAGUCCCCUUUUUUGCGUUGUGUUUCAAUUAAAUCCUUUUGUCUCUUUUUUAAAUUGAGCCGCAUAUUUUUAUUUUGUUUUUCAAUUUAGCCCAUUGCUGCGCACUGUUUAGAGGGAAAUGGAUUAUUUCCAUUUUAGGCCCCUCAUAUAAUGCGUACAUCGCAAUUCGGCCCCCCGUUUCGUUUUAAUUACAUUUCUUCUUUGCAAUUCAAUUGUGUUUUUGUUCUAGAAAAAGAAAAUUGAUGCUUACUGUCAUUAUUCUCAUUAUUGUUUAUUACUAUUUGUAUUAUUUUAUUAGUUUUAUAUUUAUAUGCAUGCGACGUCUUUAUAUAAUAUGUAUAUAUUGUCUUAUAUUACUUAUGCAUAUAUCAUACAUAGGUUUUAUUUUAUUUCCUAACUUUUAUAUACAUAUAUAAAUAUUUUCAUAUUUUAGUUUU